CCCGAUGUGAACCUGCGGAAGGAUCUUA
rnacentral:rRNA from 1 species